GGGGUCGUGAUGUUCGAUACGUCUUCCUCUUACCUGCGACUGAGGCGGCUUCACCUAGCCCCUGUCGCCCGGGCCCUUUGUAUCGGAGGAACCAGAGGCUGCGAGGUUAUUGAUACCGUCCUCCCCUGCAGAUAAGAUCCAUGACGGUGUGAGGGAGGGAUGCUACCGUACUGUAUGCACGGCAGAGGAGGAUGAUGAAGGCAGGGAUCCAGGGUCUCUGGCAAUCAAGAGGCUGGAGGCAGACGCAGCCACCCCUGGCCUUUGAUUCAGUUUAUCACAGAGC